rnacentral:rRNA from 1 species
UACGGGGGGAGCAAGCGUUGUUCGGAUUUACUGGGCGUAAAGGGCGCGUAGGCGGCCCGCUAAGUCGAACGUGAAAUCCCCGAGCUCAACUCGGGAACUGCGUCCGAUACUGGUGGGCUUGAAUCCGGGAGAGGGAUGCGGAAUUCCAGGUGUAGCGGUGAAAUGCGUAGAUAUCAGGAGGAACACCGAUGGCGAAGGCAGGUCUCUGGGCUGACACUGACGCUCAUGCACGAAAGCGUGGGGAGCAAACAGG